rnacentral:piRNA from 1 species
UGAGAAAUGAGAAGAAAUCAAAAGGU